UACGGAGGGUGCGAGCGUUGUCCGGAAUCACUGGGCGUAAAGGGCGCGUAGGUGGCCUGUGGAAGUCUGCGGUGAAAGCCCGGCGCUCAACGCCGGGUCGGCCGUGGAUACUCUCGGGCUCGAGCUUACUAGAGGCAGAUGGAAUUCCGGGGUGUAGCGGUGGAAUGCGUAGAGAUCCGGAAGAACACCGGUGGCGAAGGCGGUCUGCUGGGGUAAUGCUGACACUGAUGCGCGACAGCGUGGGGAGCAAACAGGG
rnacentral:rRNA from 1 species